AUGGAAUCAGCAUCGGAGAGGACUGGCGCUAUGGAUUCACCGGAGCCAAGAAUCGAGACCAUUCCUAUGAAGGAUGAGAAAACUGUUAAACCCACCAUUUCACUUGAUUCAAGUGUUAUCAAUCUACCAAGUGAAGGACAAGUCCAGGCGGUCACAUCCAACAUAGGUGGGGAACAUAGUGCUGCAUAUCCACAACACAUUUAUUCAUCGCAAGCAGAACCAUUCUAUUACCAAGGUACAGGAUAUGAGAACCUUCCAAAUGAAUGCGAUGUAUAUCCUCCCUAUACGAGUGUUGAUGGAUUGGAAGUGGGUCCAGCGGUUAUGUACAACGAGGAACCUUCCAUGAUGUACCAUGGUGGCUAUGGUUAUGACCCUUAUGCUCAUUAUUCUCCUAUCUCGACACCAGUACCGGCUGGUGUUAGUGGAGAUGGUCAGCUCUACUCUCCUCAGCAGUUCUCCUCGGCUCCUUACUACCAGCAACCAUUACAGCCUGACAUGCCAUAUUUAGGCUCUCCUACUCCCGUAUCACAGGGUGAGACAAUGAUGCCAAUUGACCCAACACAAAGUGCUUUUAUCGCUGACACUCUGAGUCCAAACAGCUUCCUUUUUGGACCAAGACCAGAAUGGUUUAGAUCGUCACAAGGAACUGGUUCGUUUCUAUCACCUGCAACUUCACCUCAACCUUUUGGUGAUGUUUCAGGGGCAUUCGGACAAAGCAACUUUCCUAUGGCUUCUGGGAUGAUGCCCCCUCAGCAGAAGUCCUUCUAUGGUUUUGGAACCCCUAGUGACUCUUACGGAAGAAGGUUCUCUCAUCGUGGGAGUUUCCCACAUGCCACUAAUUAUGGCAGUCCUUUCCCUGGCUAUGGCCUGAAUGGUAGAAGUUUGAAUCCAGUUGACAAAGAGCGCAGGAGAGGGAGGGGUAAUGCUUUGUUAUGCAGCUUUGUUGGUUCACUUGAUUUCCUCAAUGAGCAAAGCCGUGGUCCACGUUCCACCAGGCCUAAGAAGCAACGAGAGGAUAACAGUAAAGAUGAGAAGUCUUCUGCUGGACUUGACCAGGGGUCAUACAACAGGACUGAUUUUGUUACAGAGUACAAAAAUGCUAGAUUUUUUAUCAUAAAAUCAUACAGCGAAGAUAAUGUGCACAAGAGCAUCAAAUAUGGUGUUUGGGCUAGCACCACAAAUGGAAACAAGAAACUAGACGGGGCCUAUCAUGAAGUAAAGAAGGAAGAACACUGUCCCAUUUUUCUGUUGUUUUCGGUGAACGCUAGCGCACAGUUCUGCGGUGUUGCGGAGAUGACUGGACCAGUGAAUUUUGAGAAGAGUGUGGACUACUGGCAGCAAGAUAAGUGGACUGGCCAGUUCCCUGUUAAUUGGCACAUACUGAAGGAUGUUCCAAAUAAUCUCUUCCGCCAUAUAAUUCUUGAAAACAAUGAGCACAAGCCGGUAACCAACAGCCGGGACACACAAGAGGUGAAACUGGAACAAGGACAGGAGAUGCUGAAAAUCUUCAAGGACCAUGAGGAGGAUGCGUCGAUCCUCGAUGACUUUAACUUUUACGAGGAACGUGAGAAAGCCCUGCUGGAGAAUAAGGCAAGGCUGUAUCAGCAACAACAGAUAUCCAGCUCCACUGUUGCUGAGCCCAAGAAGCCGUCGACUGUACCAACUGACCUGGUGGGUCAUAUCGCCAAGAAUUGUAGCUUUAUUGAGCCCAAGAAGCCCUUGACUGUACCCACUGACAUGGUGGGUCAUAUCACCAAGACUUUUGCACAGGCUGUUCGGCUUGGCAAGGCCAAGAGUGUGAGCCCUCUGGGCAAGAAAGGCCCUGCUGGGGAUUUAUCUGUUGCUGCGAAGCCUGUCGAGGUCAGAGAGAGCGACUAG
rnacentral:rRNA from 1 species